GGAUCAUUACUAGAGCAAAGGAUAGACAGCGCCCGCGGAGCUCGCUCCCGGGGCUACCCUACUCCCGUAGGGUUUAGAGUCGUCGGGCCUCUCGGAGAAGCUCGGUCCUGAACUCCACCCUUGAAUAAACUACCUUUGUUGCUUUGGCGGGCCGCCUCGUGCCAGCGGCUUCGGCUGUUGAGUGCCCGCCAGAGGACCCCAACUCUUGUUUUUAGUGAUGUCUGAGUACUAUAUAAUAGUUAAAACUUUCAACAACGGAUCUCUUGGUUCUGGCAUCGAUGAAGAACGCAGCGAAAUGCGAUAAGUAAUGUGAAUUGCAGAAUUCAGUGAAUCAUCGAAUCUUUGAACGCACAUUGCGCCCUCUGGUAUUCCGGGGGGCAUGCCUGUUCGAGCGUCAUUAUAACCACUCAAGCUCUCGCUUGGUAUUGGGGUUCGCGGUUUCGCGGCCCCUAAAAUCAGUGGCGGUGCCUGUCGGCUCUACGCGUAGUAAUACUCCUCGCGAUUGAGUCCGGUAGGUCUACUUGCCAGCAACCCCUAAUUUUUUUAAGGU
rnacentral:rRNA from 1 species